GAUGAACGCUGGCGGCGUGCCUAAUACAUGCAAGUCGAACGAACAGACGAGGAGCUUGCUCCUCUGACGUUAGCGGCAGACGGGUGAGUAACACGUGGAUCACCUACCUAUAAGACUGAUAUAACUUCGGGAAACCGGAGCUAAUACCGUAUAAUAUAUUGCACCGCAUGGUUCAAUAGUGAAAGACGGUUUUGCUGUCUCUUCUAGAUGGAUCCGCGCCGCAUUAGCUAGUUGGUAAGGUAACGGCUUACUAAGGCAACGAUGCGUAGCCGACCUGAGGGGGGGAUCGGCGACACGGGAAGGGAGACACGGACCAGACGCCUACGGGAGGCAGCAGUAGGGAAUGUGCCGCAGUGGGCGAAAGCAUGACGGAGCAACGCGGCGUGAGAGAUGAAGGUCUUCGGAGCGUAAAGCUCGGUUAUGAGGGAAGAACAAAUGUGUAAGUAACUAUGCACGGCUUGACGGUAACUAAUCAGAAAGCCACGGCUAACUACGUG
rnacentral:rRNA from 1 species